AGUACCGGGUCCCUCGCAGCGGGGGACGCGCCUUCCCGCCUGCCGCGCAGGGCCCGGAGCGUGCGCAGUGCCGCGGUGCAGCUCCUCAACAUGGCUUCGAGCGUGCGCGGGGCUCCGGCCGCCGGAAGUGCGGCGGCUGGCUCCCGGGCGCGGCAGAGGCCGACUCACCCAACCAGCCACCCAACGGCCCGCUCUUCCUCUUUAACUUAGGGGAGCGGAGGGCGGGGCGUGAAGGCAGCGUGGGCGUCGGCCUUUUCGUCCGGUAAAAUCCUAGGCCAGCCUCAGGCGCCGGAGCCACUUCCGGAGCAAAUGUCAAGCCUCGAGAGGGCGGCUGGAGAGGCGCGCGCGGCGCCGGCGGGUCGGCGGCCUGGGGAGGACCAGGAGGUCUGGGAGGGCGGGUCCGCGGCUGCAGCUCACGGCCCUCGGCCCCUCAUCCCAGGCGGCCACGCGCUACUAAUGAGGAUUCGCUGGCUUUUUUCCCGACUCGCGCCGGCCGACCGAAUUCUGUGCUCUCUGUUCCGUAGUAGUUCUACCUCCCGCAGAAGACUUAAGCCGUCAGGUGGGUAGGAGCGCACACAGCGGAUUGUAGGAAUAGAAUAUUUUCUUGGAGGCCAUGGACAAAUCCGUGGUUGGGAUUGAUCUGUAGAGAGACUUCUGGGUGCAGAGGACAUACGCUUAGAAAGCUACGUUCUCCACCUCUUGCGCCACCCCUCCACACACACCCUUAAGGCUCCGGGCAGAGCUAAAAGUCCUCGAGUCUGGCUUUUUCAACUAGAAAUUGUAGCAACACCUGACGGAUGUAUUCAUCUCUUAGCUUUGGAGACAUAUCUGAGCUCCAAGUCCCACUCCACCACCUAACACCUUGUACGCUCUUUAAUUGUACCUGGGCCCUUGUUUCUUCAUUGUUGUAUUAAAAAGAAUAUAUCAAGUUUUACUUGUUGCCAGGAUCUUCUCUUUCAGUAGGAGUCACCGAAGUUCGAAGUUACUUGAAGUUACCUUGUAUUCACCUCAGAAAGAAAGUACCCCCAGGCCAGUGGUGUGUUGAAGGUGACUUGAACAGUCUCGUUAAAAUUGAGUCCCCCGGAGCAGAAGAGCAGGGUUGAUUGAUUCAGCAGCUCAGUGAUGUCAUUAGGGGAAACCAGCCACCAUGCUGUGAAGAAGCCCAAGCGGCCACAUGGACAGACCCAUGUGCAGGGAAACCACCAGCCAGCACUGAACAGCCAGCCGUGUGAGGUGUGCUAUCUUGGAAGUGGAUCCUCCAGCCUCAAGCUACCCCACUGACACCAUGUGAAGCAGAGGAGAGCCGUUCUAUGAGGCACUAAGUUUUGGGGUGGUUUGUUAUGCGGCACUAGACAGCUGGAACAGGGGUGCACUCUGGAAAGAACUGUGUUUCCUCAGUGCUUUCUCUGGUGUCUUACUCUUUUUGUCAUUGGAUUAGUUAGGUAUCAAGGGCAAGGCCUAAAGUGAGGAAAGAGUUGAAGCCUGAAAGGAAUUUUAUUGUUUAGUUCAACUUAUUCGCUGUCUGGGAUUUCUAUAUGGGAUUUGGGGGUUCAUGAUUUAUAAUAACAAGCAGUGAUUUUGCACAUCUCCCUUGAGAAGUUGCAGUAGGAGAUGGCUGGUUGUGAUUUGGAUGUUCAGGAUCCAGGGAAAAUAAUCAAUGACAACUAUCUACUCCCUUUUUACUUAAAGUACAGCCCACCCUGGAAGGAGUAAUCCUUGUUAAGGCAUCUUCUUAGCCGUUUUGCCUAUUCUAGGCACCAGGAUCUUGACUCGCUGUCAGAAGGGUCCACUCAGCUCAAUCGCUCUACGCGGCUUGUGGGAUCUUAGUUCCCUGACCAGGGAUCAAACCCGCACCCCCUGCAGUGGAAGCAUGGAGUCUUAACCACUGGACCACCAGUGAAGUCCCCAAGGCUCAAAGAG